GAAAUGGAAUUUCUAUUCAAUAUCACGUGACCAUAAACAGCCAAUUAAACGAUCAGAAUUCAAUAAGGUAUUAUAUAAUAAAUUCUACGACAUUUCUCGUACCAUAUUCUGGCGUUUCUUUUAUCUCUUUGCUGUAGUGGCUUACUUGUAAUGUACGUUAAUAUGAAGAAGCAGGAGAGAAAUUCUGCAGGAGGAACAAAUUGGUUCAAGUACUAUUUUCAUCGGUUUUGGAGG